rnacentral:rRNA from 1 species
UAGAGUUUGAUCCUGGGCUCAGGACGAACGCUGGCGGCGCGCUUAACACAUGCGAGUCGAGCGAGAACCAACCCUUCGGGGUUGGGGACAGCGGCGAACGGGUGAGUAACACGUGAGUAAUCCACCCUUGGUACCGGGAUAGCUCGGGGAAACUCGAAUUAAUACCGGAUAGCCCAUUAGCCUCUCGAGGCGAAUGGAAAAGGUAGCUUCGGCCUCCGACCAAGGACGAGCUCGCGGCGGAUUAGCUUGUUGGCGGGGUAAUGGCCCACCAAGGCGACGAUCCGUAGCUGGUCUGAGAGGACGAUCAGCCACACUGGGACUGAGACACGGCCCAGACUCCUACGGGAGGCAGCAGUGGGGAAUCUUGCGCAAUGGGCGAAAGCCUGACGCAUCGACGCCGCGUGAGGGAAGAAGGCCUUCGGGUUGUAAACCUCUUUCAGGAGGGACGAAGCCACUCGGGUUAAUAGCCCAGAGGGUGACGGUACCUCCAGAAGAAGCCCCGGCUAACUACGUGCCAGCAGCCGCGGUAAUACGUAGGGGGCAAGCGUUGUCCGGAUGUAUUGGGCGUAAAGAGCGUGUAGGCGGUUUUACAGGUCCGCUGUGAAAACUCGAGGCUCAACCUCGAGCUGUCGGUGGAAACCGUAAGGCUAGAGUCCGGAAGAGGAGAGUGGAAUUCCUGGUGUAGCGGUGAAAUGCGCAGAUAUCAGGAAGACACCCGUGGCGAUGCGGCUCUCUGGGACGUACUGACGCUGAGACGCGAGAGCGUGGGGAGCGAACAGGAUUAGAUACCCUGGCAGUCCCCCGCCGUAAACGAUGGGUGCUAGUGGUGGGGGGUGUCGACUCCCCCCC